CGGAGAAGUCCACAGAAAUGAUGUUAAAAGAGGCGCCAGGUGGAGGAUGUACCCCGGCUCUCUGUUGGAAGAUGCAAAUGGAGAAUUCUCAGUUCUGCGGAGAAAACACCCCUGUGUGGUUUCAGAGGCUGGUUUGAACAAAGAAGUGCUUUGAGAGUUCAGAUGUGGAGCCAGGAACCCUGCCUGCCUCGGGAUGCAGAGAGUGGGGGUGGCGAGCAGUGAUCCCAAAAAGCUGCUACAGCCCCUGGAACAACAGGAAGUGAACUGCAGGCCCUGGACCUCUCUAUUCAGAUUCUGCAAAGAGAUCCUGAUGAGUUGGGCCAAUGUGUCAGGCAUCGAAUCAGCUGUGGCUAAGGAGCGAAGGAGUCAGGUGUUACCAACAUGAUGGCAGGGGCCACCUUGAAGCUGUGUUCAGUGCCAUGGAAGAAAAGGAGGAGGAGGAAGCUAAGCUGAAAGGGCAGGCUCCUGGAGUCAGUAGUUGGAGUCUCAGAUGGGAAGAAACCUUGGACAUCAUCUUGUCCAGCAUUUUCCAAAGCAUGGUCCACGAACUUGUUUUCUAGAAACAGUUUCCUGGUCUG
rnacentral:lncRNA from 1 species